CCGGGUGUGCGGACCCAACUGCGGGAUCGUGGUUUCCAAGGAUAUUCAGGAUGAGGCAGUACUCUCAGUCGGGAACAAGCAUGGGUCAAUCCGAGGUGCAAAUGCGGUCCGAGGGGAGAAUCCGAAGACGUGGUUGAUGAAGCGAAGCGAAACGAAGGUCGAUACCAUGGGAAACAGGAGCAGUGACAAGGAGGCGGGCGAGGAAACAAGGAAUGGGGUACAUGGAGGAAGGCCAGCGCAGAACAGGCCCCAGGCAGUGAGGGCCUUGACCUCCGCUGGAUCCAGAUGUGGAGGUCCCCAGGGGCCCUUUCCCGGCGCAGAACCUCAAAUGGAGAGCAGACGGGUCGGGCCCUGCGUCAGCCGUGUUCCCGAGUGCCCCAUCGCUCAGGUCAUGUUCACCGGACUCCAGUUCUACUGUCUGAACCGAAAAUAUGCAGUUGAUUAAUUACAGGAAAAAAGCCAAUUGAUUCCUCUACAUUAUUAUUAUUAUUAUCAUUGUUGAUUCGUUUUUUUCUGAAAAGUGACAGAUGUUUUUCAAACUGCUUUAUUCACACAUUCGUACAGAUGAGUAAUUUUUCCCGUAUCAAUUCAGUGUAAGUACCUUACCGUGCUGUACCCUACUACCGCUCGAGGUGGGAUUCAGACUUUGUUUUCCUUCAUUUCCAAAGCGGCGGCUCUAAGCAGGACGCCACCUGUUAAUCCUCAUCGGUAAUACCUGCUACAUGUCGUGUGCCGAUAAACGGUCACAUCCAUAAAGCAGAUUACAUGCGGGAUUUUCCACUUGUUCUGUCGCUCACGCCGAUCACGGUGAGUACUUCAAUGAGGGAGGUAAGUCGCCCCUGAGCUGAGCGCUGUCUCUACCGGCGCUGUUUUUAAUUGUCACCUUAAAACCGUGCCGUGUCACAUCGUGGGGCGGGGGCUGGGAGGGGUGGGCCUCCUCUUGGAAACAAGGCUUUUAUUAUUCAAGUCCCAGGCAAUAUCCCCUCCAUCCCUCCGUUUGGGGGAUAUAGAGUGUACCCAGGCCCCUGCGGCCCCCUGCGGAGGCCCACACCUGAGGAGCCAGGCCCGGGGGGGGGGGGGUUUACGAGCUCUGUUUCAGGGAGCCGUGGAGGUGCGCUGCGCGGCCGAGGCUCUUCGAACCCAGGCUGUUCGAACUCGAACCCUCGUUCCUUCGGUUUGAUUUACAGGCCGUUUAUUGGCAGCGUAACGAAGCGCAGCUGCUCGCUUUCGGGGCUGUUUCUGUGUCGUACAUGCCACACAUACACACACAUCGCCCGCUUCGCAUGAACUCGAACCCACAGUGACCGUCUCUUACAUCGCUGCCCCGUUACUCUAAAAUAUCCCGGCAUUCCCUUCUCUCGUGAAUACCUGGCACGAAACAAAAUGUGAAUUCGGCUUCAUAUGUGUGCAGUGACUGUCAUAUUUUAAAACGGAGGGGGCUUUAUAGUAUAGACGGUCCUUUCCGUGUGGAGGUGAACUGACUCAGAAAGGUGGAGAAGCUAUCCCGGCGACGUGUCCCUAAAAAAAAUUUUCAAAAAAAAAAAGAAAAAAUUUUCAAAAAAAAAAAAAACAUCUGACGCCCCGACUCCUGUCGUUAAAUAAACGUCUACGGGGGAAUUUGGAUGUUUUGAAA
ensembl:lncRNA